ACGAACGCUGGCGGCUUGCCUAUUACUGCCAAUUGGAAGGCUGAAGGGGGGGCUGGCUCUUCUGGAUGGUUUCCGAAGGGGGAAUUAACCGUUAGUUAACCUGCCGGUUACCGGGGGUUAACUUUGGGAAACGUUAGCUAAUACGCCAUAAGAUUAGUUUUGGCAGAACAUUUCCUAAAAAGUUGCAUUGCCUUACCUACCAGAUGAACUGGCGUUGUAUUAGCUAGUUGGGGGGGUAACGGCUCACCAAGGCGACGAUACAUAGCCGACCUGAGAGGGUGAUCGGCCACACUGGGACUGAGACACGGCCCAGACUCCUACGGGAGGCAGCAGUAGGGAAUCUUCGGCAAUGGACGGAAGUCUGACCGAGCAACGCCGCGUGAGUGAAGAAGGUUUUCGGAUCGUAAAGCUCUGUUGUAAGAGAAGAACGAGUGUGAGAGUGGAAAGUUCACACUGUGACGGUAUCUUACCAGAAAGGGACGGCUAACUACGUG
rnacentral:rRNA from 1 species